rnacentral:rRNA from 1 species
AAAUUGGUAAGAUCUAUUAGUUCUCUUAAUUGAACUGGUAGGCAGAAUGCAUUGUUCCAAGUGGGCUUAUCGUGGUAAGCAUGUUAAGCAAUGAGGGAUGAACCUAACGCUGAGAUAAGGCGCCAAAAUUCCCGCUCAUCAGAUACCAUAAAAGGUGUUGAUUCAUAUAGACAGCAGGACGGUGGCCAUGGAAGUCGGAAUCCGCUAAGGAGUGUGUAACAACUCACCUGCCGAAUGAAUUAGCCCUGAAAAUGGAUGGCGCUGAAGCGGGAUGCCGAUACUCAGCCAUCAAAGCAAAUGCGAAGCUUUGAUGAGUAAGAGGGCGUGAGCACGGUGCAGAAGCCUUUGGCGUGAGCCUGGGUUGAACUGUGUUUAGUGCAGAUCUUGGUGUUAGUAGCAAAUAUUCAAAUGAGAACUUUGAA